UGAACCAGUACCGUGAGGGAAAGGUGAAAAGCACCCCGGGAGGGGAGUGAAAUAGAACCUGAAACCGUGUGCCUACAACAAGUUCAAGCCCGUUAAUGGGUGAGAGCGUGCCUUUUGUAGAAUGAACCGGCGAGUUACGAUAUGAUGCGAGGUUAAGUUGAAGAGACGGAGCCGUAGGGAAACCGAGUCUUAAUAGGGCGCAUUAGUAUCAUGUCGUAGACCCGAAACCAUGUGACCUACCCAUGAGCAGGUUGAAGGUGAGGUAAAACUCACUGGAGGACCGAACCAGGGCACGUUGAAAAGUGCUUGGAUGACUUGUGGGUAGCGGAGAAAUUCCAAACGAACUUGGAGAUAGCUGGUUCUCUCCGAAAUAGCUUUAGGGCUAGCGUCGAUGUUAAGUCUCUUGG
rnacentral:rRNA from 1 species